rnacentral:rRNA from 1 species
GGCAGGCCUAACACAUGCAAGUCGAGCGGAUGAGAGGAGCUUGCUCCUCGAUUCAGCGGCGGACGGGUGAGUAAUGCCUAGGAAUCUGCCUAGUAGUGGGGGACAACGUUUCGAAAGGAACGCUAAUACCGCAUACGUCCUACGGGAGAAAGUGGGGGAUCUUCGGACCUCACGCUAUUAGAUGAGCCUAGGUCGGAUUAGCUAGUUGGUAGGGUAAAGGCCUACCAAGGCGACGAUCCGUAACUGGUCUGAGAGGAUGAUCAGUCACACUGGAACUGAGACACGGUCCAGACUCCUACGGGAGGCAGCAGUGGGGAAUAUUGGACAAUGGGCGAAAGCCUGAUCCAGCCAUGCCGCGUGUGUGAAGAAGGCCUUCGGGUCGUAAAGCACUUUAAGUUGGGAGGAAGGGCUUACAGCGAAUACCUGUGAGCUUUGACGUUACCGACAGAAUAAGCACCGGCUAACUUCGUGCCAGCCGCCGCGGUAA